AAGGGGUGUGUUGUAAGGGCUGCUAACUUUUACAUGGGAGAGUUUCUUCCGUCCCUUU
rnacentral:tRNA from 1 species